rnacentral:lncRNA from 1 species
GACUAUCACAUUGUUCUGUCCUUAAUUUCACCAUCCUCGUCUGGUUUCCUUAAUUAGUUUGAGUGAAAUAUGUAUUCAAAUAUUUUCUUUGCAGUAACCUACAAACCUUCGAAUCCACAAAUACCAUUAUUUUGAAUGUUUUAUGUUCUCGAAAGUUUAGAGAAGGAAACUCGUGUGUUGGUAUUAAGUUAGGAACAAUUGGACUCAUUAGACCUAUGGUUAGUUCAUUGUAUUUUCUUUAUAAUUUCUAUUUAAAAAAUUAUUGUAUUUUUAAUUGGUGUGGAACAGAUAUAAAUAAAACCUAAUAGUUAUCGUGGAUGUAAGUGGAAGUUGAAGACCGAAUCACGUUAAAUAUUGUGUUGUUUAUUUUUUACAAUCGUGAUUAUGUGGGUUCUUGCGUGUCUUUUUCUCAUCACAUGUUUCACGGCUAGGGCAGAACUAAUUAAAAAAUCCAUUAAACUCAUUAUAUACCAUCAUCACAUAUUCAAAUUAAAAAUCAUUUUAUAAUAAUAAUUUUUUAACUGAAGAAAAUUGUUGUGAUACUUUUUCUCUGACCACAAUUUCUUGGAAUUAUAAUAGAAGAAAAAUCAUUUGGAAUUUAGACUUCUGUUGUAUUCCAUUCCAAGAAAACCAGGACAAAACAUGUGAAGAUUUUGAUUCCUCUGGAAAGAUAUUUGUACUCUAUUGCUAGCCUUCUUAAUUUCUAUCUUCUUUUUUUCACGGGUCUAAUAGUUCCGGUAGUUGAUAAAUCCACUUCAAUUCAAAAUUAAAGAGAAGGGGGAAAGAGCACUAAUACAAAUAACGUAUUUUAUAAUUAUAUAUUAGAUUGUUUUAUUGAAAAUUGCUAAUACAAAUAACGUAUUAUACACUGCUAAUACAAAUAACGUGUUAUACACUGCUAGAUUGCCUCCAGUGCUGAUGUCGCCGCUAGAUAGCUACCUCCACUACACUACUUGUUAUUUAUAUAGAAAAUUAUUUUUAUUAUAAUGUAUUGGAAUGAAAUGUAUUAUGUUUUAAAUUUUUUAAUUAUUAUAUGUUGAAUGUUUUGGUAUUGAAUUUGGGGUGAUCAACCUCGACAAUGUCUACUAUGUUUUAUAAUGUAUUAUGUUUGGAUAUAAUGUAUUAUGCUUUAAAUUUUGUUUGAAUUGUUAUUUUAAUUGUUAAAUGUUGAACAUUUUACUAUUGGGUCUUGUGUAUUAUGUUUUAUAAUACAUUUAUUAAAAAUUGGGUGACAUUGAUGGAUAAGUGCUUCUAUUACGUAAUCACGAAUCGAAGUUGGAUAAAUGUGAGUUGUAUCAGUGAUGUGUAUGAAAAUGGCGUUGAAGAAUUUCUACAAUUUGCUCAACAGAAUGUAGAAGUUAUAAGUGGAAGAUAUUAGUAUGAUGUCUUUUAAUACAAGGACUGAAGAUGAAAAAGUACUAUGCAGAAUAACAGUGUUACCCUUGAGGCGAAGUCUAUGCACUUUGCUAGUUCAAAAGAUAAUAAUCCUAUUGUGGCUACUUUAAGUUACUUUGGAGUAAUUGAAGAAAUUUGGGAGGUUGAAUACGUCAAAUUUAGAGUUCCUGUAUUUAAGUGUAAAAUGGGUUGAUUGUAACACAAGAGUGCAUGUGGAUGACUUGAGUUUUACUUUGGGUGAUCUUACAAAGAUAGGGUGGAAGAAAAAUCCUUUCAUCAUAACUUACCAAGCAAAACAAGGUUUUUAUGUGAAAGAUCCUUCUAGGUGGUCAGUUGUCGUACAGGGGAGAAUUGAACAUGAUGUUCAUCCACAGGAUGACUCAAGGGUCAAAUCUGUAUACAAGUUUUCAUUCUCUAAACAAAUACCUCCUUUGAAUGAUGAAAAUAAUGUUGAUGAAGUAUAUGCUACACGCCAUGAUCACAAUGAAGGAAUAUGGGAGAACAUUUUAAUACUUCCACAAUAGAAAUUAAGUUAUGUUUUUAUUAGCUUUUAUAUUUAAAAAUUAGUUUUAUUUAAUUUAAAUAUAUAUCUUAAACGUGUUUUUAUUUUUUGUAGGUUGAUCACAUGGCUGACUCAUCAAAGAAGACUAGGGAGCCUACACGACUAAGAAAUCUUGUUAUUAGACGUAUGGGUAAUAAGAAAGUUCCAGUUCAAACAGACCCUCAAACUCGUAGGGCAUCAGACCCUAAUCAUGCUCAAUUUGUAAGUUAUUUGGGAGUCCUAGCUCGAUCUAAGGUGUCUAUCUUGGUACUUGACUGGGACCAUGUAAGAAAAGUAUAGAAGAAUCUUAUUUGGAAGGAUAUUUGUGUAAGCUAUUUAUUUAAAGGUUAUUAAAUAAUUUGUGUAUUUAAAACGUUAUUUACAUUUUAAUGACUUAUUCAUUAUAAUUUUUAGACAAACUUUGAGUUUGAAACUUCCAAUUUGGUUCGGAGCAAGAUAUUGUCUUUAGUAGCUACAAAAUGGAAGCAAUUCAAGAUAAAUUUGAUAGGCUAUUACAUAUUUGGCAAAUACAAGGACAGAUCUCCUUGUGAGAAAUAUUGUAUAGAUGAAGAGGCAUGGUCUCAUUUUGUUCAGAGUCAAAUGGAUCCCUCAUGGUAGGUUUGUGAACAUUUCAUUAUAUAUGUUAUUAAAUCAUAUCAUGCAAUUCAUAAUUUAUGUGUAUGAUGUGCUUGCAGGAAAAGUGGAAGAAAGCUCAAAUCAUUUCACAAAAGAAUGUUACCUCCCACAGACUGUCUCGGGGAGGUUAUGAUUUGUUAGAGAAAAAGAUAAUGGAAGAAAAGUUAAAGAGGCAAACAAAAUCCGAUUCUGGUGAACUUAUUUAUCCUCCAUCACCUCCUAAUCGACAUGGAAAAUGGAAGUUGGCCAGAACUAAAGCGGGAGUCAGAUGAAAUCUGAGAAAUCAUUAGAGAUUUCCCAACGUAUUAUAAGUUCAUAAUUACAUGUCUUAUUUUUAGUAUUGCACACUUAUCAUUACAUAUUAUAUUAACAUAUUGUAUUAUUCUUUACAGAGAGUGUGAUCUCUUUGGUGGGUUGAUGUAUUUUUAUUUGUUGGGUUUCUAUAUCUUAAUCUGGUAUAUUAUUUUGGUUAUUGUAGUGUAGUGUAUGUAUGAUCCUUUAUUGGUAGGGUGCUAGGAAACUUGUUUUGGGUUUUUUGUAUAAGGGUUGGGACACCCCUGAAGUGUCUCAAUUUAUUUUAUUUAUUUUUUGCUGAUAAAAAAAAAGGAUUUGCUAGUGGAGCAAAGCUCACAGGGAAGUUUUGUUCCUAAAGGUCGAGAUGACAUCUUGACUGUUGCUAUUGGAACUAGGGAACACCUUGAUCGUGUACGUACUACUAGUUUUGGUGUUGGGGUGAGGCAAUACUUUGGAUCAGCUCCUCGACCCAACUUUUCUACUGCAAAUGUCAGUCAGGAGAUGAUGGAGCAAUUAGUUGCACAAUUGACAGAGAGACUGACACCACAACUAACUCAUAACAUAAAAGAACAAGUUGUCAAAGAGUUAAAAGCUGAAUUCGAGCAGCGAUAUAAUCCAGUUGAACCAGUAGAUGUAAUUCAUACUCGUGGUUGAGGUAGCACAAAAGGUAGUUGUGAUAUCGAUUCAUACUCGUGGUUGAGCUAGCAAUUAGUGGCCUUUUGAAGAGUGUAUCCAGGACGUUUAACCAUGCACAUUGUUCCCAUGCAGGGUGAUUUCUCUAGAGUGGUAGUUGAAAAAGCUAGAGAUGCAUCUGCUACAGUUUCAAUGUCAUAACAGAGGUUAAUACAGUGGGAUAGACACUUGGAAUAUUUAUUGCAUGGCCUACACAUUUGAUAAAGGCCAUUUCAAAAAAUUAUGAGGUAUAUUUUAUUAAAAGCUAUUAAUGUCAUUCAUUGGGAUGCCACAUUAUUUAGUACAUAACCAUGCAAGAUGUCUUUGAAAUCAUUCAGGUUAAUUAAUUAUUGAACAUCGUAGUUAUUCAACUAUGGAUGAUGUAAGUACCCUUAAUAAUUACAUGAUACUUAAUCAAACGAUGUUUCAUGAAUCAUGUCAUUGAUAUCUAUGUUAACAAUGUAUAUAAAUUAGAUAAUUAUCAACAUGAGUAAUGUUGAUAUUUUUUAUUUCCUUGAGCCGCAAUCCAUACAAAGGUAUGAUAAUAAAAAUAUUAAUUGUCAAACUUACAUUCAAAGAUGAAUUCAGACAUCCAGAAAGAGGAUUUAUAUGGCUCCUUUUAUAAAUGGGUUAGUAAAACUUGUUACAUUUAGAUUUUACAUAAUUAUAAAAAUGACUAAUGAAAUGUUCUAUACUAGGUCUCACCGGCAUUUGAUGCUUAUUUGCCCCAUGGAUAAUACACUUGUGUGGUUUUAUUCAUUACAUAGGAAGUCAAGUCCAGAUCUGGAGACUGCAGUACAAAUGUAUGUUUUUAUUAAUAUGUUAAUUAUAUAAUUUAUUGUCAAUUACUAAUAUUUUUCUCUUUUUAGUGCAAUUAAUGUAUGCAAUGUCUUUGGCGGUAGACCCACUUUAUCAUCACAAGAUCUAGUUAGAUUUUUCCUAGGGUAUAUAUUUAUCUCUUUAUUGAAACUAUUAAGUUUUACUUCUUUUAGUUGUUCAAUUAAAUUAAUUGUUACUUAUAUUUGAUAAUAGUGCAAUAAGCAACAAAAAAAGCUUUGAAUGUGGUUAUUAUGUAAUGCAUUGGAUGUGAACCAUAUCCUUGUGAAUAUUAUGGACUCUUGGAAGCGGGUAUUAUAAGAUUUUAAACACUUUAACAUCUCAUUUUAAAUUCAUAUUUAUUAUUAUGAACACUAAUAUCCAAUUACGUUUCUCAGCUUUUUGUAGAAAUCGAGUCACAAAGCAUACAAACUCUUAAACAAAUCUGUCAAAAAUGGUCCAAAUAUUUUCUAGAGAUUAGGAAUCAAAACAUAUCAUGAUUUGUAACUUUGUAUAUAUAUAUACACUUUCAUUAGUUUUAAUUAUACUAUUUUUUAUUAGUUUCAAUUGCAUGCUUUUAUAUUUCUCAAUAUAAAAAUUGAUCUUAUUGGUUUUUGGUUUGAUUUAAAAAUUAAGUUGAAAAAAUCACAUUUUAAUAAUUUUGAAAAUAACAAAUGUAAAAUGUAAAAUAUCAUAUUACAACUGAGCUAUAUUAAUAAUAGAAUCGAUAUAAUAUAUCUCCAAAAACUUGGGUAAUAUGCAUUAUUGCACUAGUGAAGGAAGUAUGAAGAAAAAUCAACGUCCAUCCUUGACCUGUGCUCAAGUCUUCCUCUCUUUUCAGUCCACAGACUAAUAAUCUUAGUCUAAAAAGAUGCAAAUAUCACACCCGAAACUAAGCCCAGAUCAUCACCUUUCCAUGGAUAUUCCUAAGCUCCACAUAAUUCAACACUCUCGCUGUAUUGCACUUCUUUUCCUUCUUCAGUUCUCAUCACUGCACUUCCCCUCCCUCGGCUACAACGUCCCUGAUAAGUACUUUAUCAAUUGUGGGUCAGACAACAGUGUUACCGAAAGUGGCAAGGUUUACGUUGCUGAAUCAAACCAUGAUGCCAGUUUUAACAGCAGUAACACCGAAAGGAAUCAGUCAUCGGUGCCUUCUCCUCUUUACCAAACAGCAAGAAUUUUUCGAAGGGUAUCUUGGUACAAGUUCAACAUCGAUUCCAAUGGCACCUACCUGCUACGCCUUCAUUUCUUCCCUUUCUCUUCCCCCAGUAAUCUUUCCUCGGCCAGGUUCAACGUUUCAGUCCCUGGUUUCUGGUUGUUGCAAAAUUUUGAUGGUACAAAUGAUACCAAUAACAACUCUGCUUUAGUUAAAGAGUUUUUCAUGGAAAUUAGUGCCCCCACCUUCAAAAUAACUUUCAGACCUCUGGAAUCAUCGUUUGCGUUUGUGAACGCCAUAGAACUGUUCGUACUACCCCUCCAUCUGAUAUCUGACAAGGUGUCGUUUUUUAAACCCAUUGGGGGUACAUCUAUUUAUAGCGGAGGUUUGUACUCUCGGGUGUUGGAGACCAAACAUAGGCUUAAUGUUGGUGGUCAACCUACCAAAGAUCUCUUAUUGAGAAACUGGAUUCCAGAUGAUAUUUAUCUAAUGUAUACAGAAAACGCCAAGAAUCGUUCCCCUUAUAAUGGUGAAAUCGGGUACCAUGUAGAUGAUGACUCCGAUGGUCCAAACNNNNNNNNNNNNNNNNNNNNNNNNNNNNNNNNNNNNNNNNNNNNNNNNNNNNNNNNNNNNNNNNNNNNNNNNNNNNNNNNNNNNNNNNNNNNNNNNNNNNNNNNNNNNNNNNNNNNNNNNNNNNNNNNNNNNNNNNNNNNNNNNNNNNNNNNNNNNNNNNNNNNNNNNNNNNNNNNNNNNNNNNNNNNNNNNNNNNNNNNNNNNNNNNNNNNNNNNNNNNNNNNNNNNNNNNNNNNNNNNNNNNNNNNNNNNNNNNNNNNNNNNNNNNNNNNNNNNNNNNNNNNNNNNNNNNNNNNNNNNNNNNNNNNNNNNNNNNNNNNNNNNNNNNNNNNNNNNNNNNNNNNNNNNNNNNNNNNNNNNNNNNNNNNNNNNNNNNAAGUGAUUGAAUCAUCAAAUGAUGUCCCCCGUGACAUGGACGAACCCGAUUCCAAUCAUCAUCCUUUUCCUGUGGUUCUGGGUUCAGUUCUCGGUGGUUUAGCCUUGGCUUUUGUUGUGGUGCUACUUGGCUUUCUUUUGCGUUUUAAAAUGAGGAAGGAAAAGCCCGUUGGGAAUUCGGACUGGUUGUCAGUCCUCGUUAAUGCUGGAGGAAGUUCUCACAGCAGAUUGACUGAUAUAUCCAGUCACGGCUCUGCCCUUCCCAACAUAAACCUAGGGCUCAAAAUUCCCUUGAUUGAUCUUCAACUUGCAACAAAGAAUUUCCACGAAAGUCAGCUGAUUGGCGAGGGUGGUUUUGGCAACGUCUACAAGGGAGUCCUCAAGAAUGGCAUGACAGUGGCUGUGAAAAGAAGCCAGCCAGGGUCAGGUCAAGGCCUUCCAGAAUUUCAGACAGAGAUUAUGGUUUUGUCCAAGAUUCGCCACAGGCACCUGGUUUCCUUAAUUGGGUAUUGUGAUGAGAGGUUGGAGAUGAUUCUGGUCUAUGAAUACAUGGAAAAAGGAACCCUAAGGGACCAUUUGUAUAACACAAAGUUUCCAACCUUGUCCUGGAAGGCGAGGCUUCAAAUUUGCAUUGAUUCUGCCAGGGGUCUUCAUUACCUUCACAAAGGAGCAGCUGGGGGAAUCAUUCACCGUGAUGUGAAGUCCACAAACAUAUUGCUUGAUGAGAACCAUGUCGCUAAAGUUGCUGAUUUUGGUCUUUCAAGGUCAGGUCCUCUUGGUACUGAAUCGUAUGUCACCACUGGUGUUAAAGGCACUUUUGGGUAUCUUGAUCUUGAGUAUUUCAGGUCGCAACACCUGACAGAAAAAUCUGAUGUCUACUCAUUUGGGGUAGUUCUUUUGGAAGUUUUAUGUGCAAGAGCAGCGAUUGACCCAUCUCUUCCAAGAGAUCAGAUAAACUUGGCGGAAUGGGGAUUGCUUUGCAAAAACAAGGGGACACUCCAAGAGAUCAUCGAUCCUUCCAUCAAGGAUCAAAUUGAUCAAAACUCACUCAGAAAAUUUAGUGAGACGAUAGAAAAAUGCUUGCAAGAAAAUGGUUCUGAUAGGCCAACCAUGGGUGAUGUGUUAUGGAACUUGGAGUAUGCGGUGCAGCUUCAGAGAGGUGCAAAUUCAAUGCAGAGAGACCCGUAUGAGAAUAGUUCUAGCAGUGUUUCUACAUCACUUCAACUGCCAAAUGUUCGGCGUCUUCCUUCACUCUCCACACUGAGUGAAGCCGAUGAUAUAAUUGUGAGGCAUGAUGAAUCCGAUAGUGCUGUGGAUUACGUUUUCUCCCAGUUGAAGAUUGAUGAUGCCAGUUAGAAUAUCGAGCACUUCAAGGCAGACUUCUAUUCGGAAAUGUCUUGAGUAGAGUAGUUGCUUUUAAGAUAGAUUUUCCAACCUUUCGUCUUUUUGUUUCUGUAGUUUUUGUUGUCAGUCUAUCACAGGGUUCUGUCCUUAAUUUCACCAUCCUCGUCUGGUUUCCUUAAUUAGUUUGAGUGAAAUAUGUAUUCAAAUAUUUUCUUUGCAGUAACCAACAAGCCUUGGAAGCCAUAAAUACCAUUAUUUUGAAUGCUUUAUGUUCUCCAAAGUUUAGAAGAAGGAAACCUGAGAAUGAUGUAAGUCUCAAUGUCUCAGUCAAAAAACACGUUGCUUACUUGUUC